UCCUGCAAGCAUCUCACAUGAGGGAGCAGUGAACGAGUGGAUGUGCAGUGCCGAGCUGCCAGGUUUAACCUGCCAGGUUAAAUCACACAAGAAAGAAGAUGAAGAAAUUAUAAGUAGCCAAAGUCUAUUGGUGGCUACUGAACAUAGUAGUAGGGGUGAAACCUCCACUUUUGACUCAGAAGCUGCUUGCUCUUGUGACUGCCAGAAAUGUGGAAGACAUGUUCCUCUAAUAUAAUUUCUUAUAUGCACUUACAUUUACUCUUCCCUUAUCUUCUGAUCAUUCAUCAGAUUGAUAGGUAGCAGCUGAGUUGCUUCAUGGACCUGAAUGCGUCAGUGACAGAACAAGAAAAACCUUUUAUAUCUGCCAUCCAAGCAAUCUCUUCCCCUUUUCAUCUUUCAGAGCUGCAAGCUCUAGCCUUACAGCUUCUCAGUGAAGAAUAUAUUUUAUUAUCUGGAGAAAACGAUGGCUGGCUGCUUGAUAGGAAUACACUGAGCAUCCUUAUCCUCUGAAACCAUAUGUCUGCACCUUGCCAGGUGGAGCUCCAUGUGUCCUUGGGAGUACUGGUAUCUCUCUGUCUCCCAGACCUGGCUGACAAGCCUAGUACAUCAAGAACAGUGCCUUAUAGUUCCUGGCAUCCAGUUAUCUCCUCUAUAGCUAUGCCAAAUUUGAACAGAGGUCCAAGAGAUGCCAUUGAGUCAGUAUUUGCAAAAUGAACUAUUUCAGUUGUAUUUUCAGACUCAGGAAAAAAGUAACAUGUGGUUAUUUUUUAAUUUACAAGCACAAACUUUUAUGCUGUAUGUUUAAAAAGGUCCCAAAAAUGCAUGUAGUAAAACAAAUAACACUCUUAUCUAGGCACUAGCUAAGACUGCUGCAUUGUGAGAAGCAUGUGUCUCAGUCUGUUUUUCUCCCAGAAAAGAGUUUACAAGACCCUUUGAGAGUGAAAUGCUCUUUGCUGGGCAUAUGGGGUAACUAAAAUUUUUGGAGUGCCAUCAUUUCCCAUCAUGUUCUGGUAUAGCGUAGCAAAUCUUGUUCUGGGAAAGGAUUUGUGCCAGCAGGGUAAAAGACACCCUAAAACUGAUUAAUAUCACUUUUAUGGACUACUUGAGGGUAUUACAGGGAAAAGGAAUGAAGCAAUUUGAAUCUUCAUAUUUUGGAGUGGAUACUAUGCUUCCCAUACUGUUUCUCUGAAAAUAAAGCUCACAUUGAUCAGCAAGUACUGUAAAGGGAAUCUGAAAAUAACAUUGGGAACAUAUUUUCUGCUGGGAAAAGAUAUGACUCUUCUCCUUAGGACACCUAUAUACUCUGCAGUGAAUCACAGCUUCAGGUCAAGAGGAAAUGCAUUUACUCUUCUUUAGUCUCACUGAUGACUUUGGUAAUAGUUAUACUGUUUCUGGAAAUGUGGUGAUUUUCUCAUUAAAACUUCUUACAUCAGGAUAACCUCAUCAUUUUGUCUUCUUUCAAUCCCAGUUAUUCACCUCUUGCUUGAUGGCAUGCAAAGACCUGGAGGAGUGAUAGUAGCAGUACCGAUGUUUGAUAACUAGUGACAUAGCAGCAGUGAACUGUGGCAAGUCUAUUACAAAGAAAGAAGUAUCAUUCCCCUCCCUCUACUAAUUUUUCCCUUCUUAUCUAUCACUUUCUAAAUUGCAUAUACAGAAUUUUGAUUUGUACUGAGGAACUCCUGCAUCUAACAAAAAUAGGGCAUCUAGGAUAAUAAUCUUUCCAAUAGAAGAAGACAUUGCAGCUGAAAUUAAGGUGCAAUUGCUAUCUUGACUUGGUUUAUGAUCAUGUUUUUAAAAAAAUCCGGAGAAAAAUUGUCCAUGCAAGGAAAUAAAAAAAGAAAAGAAAAAGGUCACUCUUCAGGCUAUAUCUGCCUAAAAGCAUUUCCUUAGAUUAUUGUUCCAAAUAAAUACCAAGCAAAGUGCUUUGUGAAUGACAAUUAAGCCAGUAAGUUUUAAUCCUAACAAAUAUGCAUAUAAAGCAAGAGCAUUUUUUAAGAUUGAUGGAUCCAUAGACCUUGUCUUCCUUAUUGGACUACCUCUUCUUUAGUUCUUAAGAGUCAAUUGAUUUCCAUCCAAGGAAUCUGUAUGCCUGCCAUAUGUUCAUUUUUCUGUGGAUUGCAUUAUUGUUUCCCAAACAGUUUAUCAUAUGUUAUUUAUCACAGAAAGGACUUUGAUAACUUUGUGAGGGCUCCAGAGACCCUCUCUUCUGAUGAUUAAAUCAUGGUCUGUAUUGCAUUACCUCAUAUUCAUAAUGAAUAACUUCAUCCAUCAAUUACUGCACAACUGUUUUCAUAUCAUGUAAUAAUGAUAUGGACUUUCCACACCAUCUAGAACACAGCAUAUAGCAAACAAACCUGCUAUCAGCUAAAUAUAAAAAUGAAA